AGAAAAUGCUUUUCCAAUAAAAUCAAGAAAAUAUAAAUGCACAAAAGAAUAUGGUACUGACAGAGAAAAUGGGUUCUUCUGAUGAAUUGAAGAAAACUAGUUUACGAGUGCUAUUACUGGUAUUUUUGAACAGCACAAUGUGGCUUGCUGGGGGCCUCCUGUUCAUGUAUCUCGAGGCGCCUAAUGAAGCUGUGCAUAAAUGUGGGGUGAGAAGAGUCAGAAGAGAUUUUCUAGACCAGCUCUGGACUGAGGU